rnacentral:rRNA from 1 species
GACGAACGCUGGCGGCAUGCCUAAUACAUGCAAGUAGAACGAGUUGCGAACGGGUGAGUAACGCGUGGUAACCUGCCUCGUAGCGGGGGAAAAAUAUUGGAAAAGCUAGCUAAUACCCCAUACUUUGAGAUGGACCUGCGUGGUAUUAGCUAGUUGGUGAGGUAAAGGCUAACAAAGGCGACGAUACAUAGCCGACCUGAGAGGGUGAUCGGCCACCCUGGGACUGAGACACGGCCCAGACUCCGACGGGAGGCAGCAGUGGGGAAUAUGGCACAAUGGGCGCAAGCCUGAUGCAGCCAUGCCGCGUGUAUGAAGAAGGCCUUCGGGUUGUAAAGUACUUUCAGCGGGGAGGCGUUACCCGCAGAAGAAGCACCGGCUAACUCCGUGCCAGCAGCCGCGGUAAUAC